rnacentral:rRNA from 1 species
UGGGGAAUUUUGGACAAUGGGCGAAAGCCUGAUCCAGCAAUGCCGCGUGUGUGAAGAAGGCCUUCGGGUUGUAAAGCACUUUUGUCCGGAAAGAAAUCCUUGGCUCUAAUACAGUCGGGGGAUGACGGUACCGGAAGAAUAAGCACCGGCUAACUACGUGCCAGCAGCCGCGGUAAUACGUAGGGUGCAAGCGUUAAUCGGAAUUACUGGGCGUAAAGCGUGCGCAGGCGGUUUGCUAAGACCGAUGUGAAAUCCCCGGGCUCAACCUGGGAACUGCAUUGGUGACUGGCAGGCUAGAGUAUGGCAGAGGGGGGUAGAAUUCCACGUGUAGCAGUGAAAUGCGUAGAGAUGUGGAGGAAUACCGAUGGCGAAGGCAGCCCCCUGGGCCAAUACUGACGCUCAUGCACGAAAGCGAUGGGGAGCAAAACGAGGAUUAAGAUGACCCUGGUAGUCCACGCCCUAAACGAUGUCAACUAGUUGUUGGGGAUUGCAUUUCCUUAGUAACGUAGCUAACGCGUGAAGUUGACCGCCUGGGGAGUACGGUCGCAAGAUUAAAACUCAAAUGAAUUGAC